UGGAGGAGCCAGCUUCCAGGGUAGCAUCAAUUGCUGGGAGGGGUCUGUGGUCUGGAAGUCACAUCUAGAGGACCGCCGAGCUUUGCUGAGGCAUCAUGGUGGGACUUAAAGAAGUAUCUUGGCCGGGCGCAGUGGCUCACACCUAUAAUCCCAGAACUUUGGGAGGAUGAGGCAGGAGGAUCAAUUGAGUCACGGAGUUCAAGACCAGCCUGGGCAACAGAGUGAGACUCUGUCUCUACAACAAAUUUUAAAAAAAUUAGUCAGGAAAAACAAAGAUCCCCAAAGUCCAUUUCGCUCCGAGGUCAGUGGACACAGCUCUGUGACUGUCCUGUGCUGUGUGGGUCUGUAGAAGGGCCAGUCAUGGGCCAUCGAGCUACUCACAGCCAACUGCACCCAAGUCCAAGCCUGGCUCUGUUCCCAUACACAGAGACAGGAUGGGGGCUGCUGAUCUGGCCUGAAGCCUUGCUCUGGGCACUGAAAACGGGGGCUAUUUCCUUACCUGAAGAUCUGGAAGCAGCAUGUUGACAAAAGCACCAACUGCUCUGCCAUCACGUCCCACUGGGUGUCAGUGGGAAGGCCUAACCAAGGCCUGCC
rnacentral:lncRNA from 10 species